rnacentral:lncRNA from 1 species
GCUAUGACAACGAUUAUUGAUGCAGCGUUACAUAGAGAAGCAACAAAGAAUUAAGCAAGCUGCUGUCAGGAAAAAUAUGCUUCUAACAAAGCUGAAUACACUGAAUUUCUCAACCAACUUAAUCAUAUUGAAAAUAAGAUUUAAAUUGGGUGUGAAAAAAUAGCUUACUAGACUUUAAAAGAUUUUUUUUUUUUUAUGGUUAUUUCAAAACAUUACGUUUACAUUGUUCUAGAUCUUGAAAGAUUCAAGCUGAAGUUUAACCCAAAUUUAAAUUAACUGAGUAUGAAAAUUAUUAAAAGCUUCAAGGGGUUUGUGAAAAAGGGAGAGGAAAGAGUAAGUGAGAGAGACAAAAGGUUAUGGACUAUUGUUAAUCUGAAGUUUAAUUCAAAUCGGUGUACGAAACUGUGAAGUUAAAAGAUUAACAAUAAAAUAAAAUUAAAGAAAAAAAAUCGAAAAUCGAAAUUAAGUUAAAUGAAAACAUACCUUCCAGAGUCUUGAACCACACACACACAACAAAAGCAAGAAUCUCAGGGCACAGUAGCAGUGCACAGCGCGUAGACCAGAGGAGAGGAGACUAGACUAAAUCGGUUUGGCCGAAAGAGAGGGAUUUAAAACCUUCAUUUUACUGGAUAAAAAUUAAUUCCAAUGAAGGAUGGAGAGAUUUAUUACUAUAUUAUGGGAAAUUUUACUCCCACAAUCACAUGGAGAGAUACCAGCUAUUUAUUAAUUUGACUGUUAAUUUUCAAUUAAACUAACAAAAAAUCUCUGUGACAUUAAUUUUUUUUUUUGUUAACCUUUUUUAAGUGCAAUUUGUUUACACAAAUUAUAGGAUAAAAUAUCACCUCACCUUUUUUUUUUUAAUCUUUAAAUGAUGGAAAAUGAGAUUCUUACUACCGCACCGUUUUGUGCUACCUAUAAAAAAGGUUACUGUGGCUUGCACACGCGCACACAGCUCCCACAGCAAACGAGCAAAACCCACACGACAGUCACACCAAAACGCAGCCGUUUCUCAAGCAUCCUCACUCUGCUCUGUGCUCUCUCCGUCAACUUUCUCCCUCUAUCUCGCCGUGGGUGUCUCCACACCUGGUCGUUGGAUCUGUCUCUCUGUCUCUACCCGUCGAUUGCAGUUGCAGCUUCGCGUUCUCCCUCUCACUCACAGCGCCACCAAUCUCACCUCACUCAGGCCACAACUCUCACCACCAAUCGAUUCACCCUCACCACGCUCCGUUCUUAUCAUCGGCUCUCUCUCUUCCCCGUGGAUUGUGUCUUUCUCCUUCACGCUGCCGCACUCCCUUGGAUGUCUCAAAAUUUUGACUUGCCGCUUCACUCGCCAUCGGCUGCCGUAAUUGAUUUCUGGAGGUAAUUUGCUUCAUUAAUUUCAAAUUUGGUUCUCUAGGAUUAUGAAAAAUAAUCGUUUGUUUCCCCUUUUUUUUUAUAUGACAUGAAAGAUAAACAAAUAAUUAACAACAGACAGAGGAAGAAGGAAAGAAAGGCAGUGGAGUGGAGAGAUUAAAAAUCAUUGAAGGAAAGAAACAUUAUUAAAGACAGGAGAGAGAGGGAGAUAAAAAAUAUUAAAAAAAUUAACGAUCCAUCUCCUUUAAUCGUCACCCUUCAAUUUUUUAAUCUCUUCAAUGUUUUUUUUUUUUUUUAUAUAAAGACGUGGUUGUUCUAAUAUUCAUAUAACAUCAAUCAACACAGUAUGAACAACUGAAAAUGUUGUCAUAAUCUAUAUCUCAAUGGCAACAAAAUUUAAAAAUUGAUUUUUUUUUAUUGAUUUUAAAAUAAAUUAUUUCGUUAAACUAAAAAGUGUUACAUAAAAGAUCAGAUAUUAAAUCAAUAAAGUGUUGGCUCCAUUGCUAGUGGAGCCAAUCUUAGUGGCUUGACUGAGUUUGCUCUUCAGUUUGAGUCGUAGAAAAGUCGCAUUUGUUGGGAGAACUUAUGUCUCCUGGUUCGAGCGGGGACUUUUAAUCUGAAUUGUGGUACGGGCUUAAAGAUACCUCCCACAAUUAGGACCUUCCCUAGGAUAACUCGUGAUUAAGACAAAAAAAAAAGAUCAUAUUAAAACAUUAUGGGUGAAAUUGUUGGAUAAGUAUCAUCCCAUAAUCUAAGCAUACCGAACUUUAAACAAAAUAUUUUGAUACGUAUCUAUUUUUGUUAAUGUAUAGUCAGUCAAAAUCAAUUUAUUUGUAAUAUUUUUAUUUAUUAACUAUCAAUUAUAGAAGAAAAUUCUGAUCCAAAAUUAUCUUGAUUUAAUUAACCAAUCAGAAGUAACUAGAUUACUUCGUUUUAAUAGGACUUUUUCAUAACAAAUCUAUUAUUUGUUAUAGGUGGGAUUAACUCACAAUCCGCAUUUUCAGUUGAUGUCGUGGGUUAUGUCAUUUAGUCCCAUAAGCAUGUUAUUUAAUAACAACUUCGAUAUAAAAAAAUUUAGAACCUAAAUUAAAAUUUCGUUGUUUAAGAAGAUUUGUUAUAUUAGAAAAACUCUUCUCAAAAGAGAAACUUAAAAAAGAGAGAGAGAGAGAGAGAGAGAAAGCCACUUCUAUCAAAUUAAAAUAAUAUUUAUAAUGAAUUCUAUGAAGUACAUGUCCAAUACAAAUAACCCCUCACAGGAGAGGAUGUCCAUACUCCACUUGCAUUUCGCAAGGGAGAAGGAUAUAAAGAACAUUUAGCCCCCACAAUGCUUUUGUGGGGGCUAGAACCGCUGCCCUCACAAUGCUUGUGAGGGCAGCAGCCCACCACUUCGGCCAAGGCCGAAGUGGCUAUGCUUAUUUGUUAUGCUUAUUUAAUUGAUAGAUUUCGUGAUCAUGUAUAUGAUAUUAAUUGAUUUCAUUAUUAAUUACUUACAUUUGAUUUUUAUAAUCCAAUCAAUAAAUGAUCCAUAUAAAAUGUCACAUCAGUAAGUAUUCUAAUUAAAUAUUUUAUUUAUGUAAACAUAACAUUACUAAAAAAAUCAUUGGUUAAGAAAGCUUACUCUAUUAUGUCUGAUCAUCUUGUACACAAAUAAAAUUAGCAUUUAGCCAUUUUAGCUCUGAAAUUCAAUUCAGCAAUUUUAUUCUGUUGAGCGAAGUAAUAAAAAAUACAAAUCAAGCACCGGCCAUAAUGUAUAUAUAAGAAGAUAAUCCAAGACUUGCUUGGCUGUAAAGAGCAAAAGGCCUAGGGCUAAUUUACAAUCUAACAUGCUUCAAAUCUGUUUGAAAGGGGAAAAAGCCUGUGGGGUUGAGGGUGCCAACCCAAUCUAUAAUGAUUUCGUUGUGCUGUGCUGAUUAUAUAAUGUACCCUUAUUUUUUCUUAACUUUUGCAGUUAUACCAUUACAAUAAUCUUGGAGACAUUUUGAAAAAAUAUAUAUAUAUAUUGGUCAAACUAACCUCAUAAGUAAAAUAAAAAUUAAUCUAAAUCUUUUGUUAUUAAUUUACUUUUCAAUAAUGUCUCAAAGAUUGUUGCAAGAACAUCAUUAUUAUAAAGUCAACAAAAAGUAAGGAUAUAAGUACAACAUAUUUAAUAUCAGAUUAUCUGAAGAUAUUUUUUAAAAUAUAAAAAUUAAAUUAAUACUUAAACUAAAAUAUAAGAAUUAAAUUAUCAUUUACUAAAAAAAAAUUAAAUAUUUUAUAGAAUAAAACUCACUUAUAAGAUUUUUUAUUUCAAAAAAUUCACGUAACUUUCAAUAUUUACUCAGCGGGAAAUUUUUGGCCCUUUCCCUUCAACAUAUAACUCAGAUUUCCGAGAGUAGGUGCUCGCAGUUGGCUUCCGCCUUUCACGAAGGCACAAAAUUGAUCAAAGCUGAUCCUUCCGUCCUUAAAACAAAAAUUAAAGAUGUGAGAAUCGCGAUCAAAACAAUAAUGCAGACAAAUGAAAUGCUAUCCUUAAUUAGUCUGUAACUGAAUUUAUGCAGCAUCUUAUGUGUCAUUCAUUGUUUGAGUUUAUACAAAUAAAAUCAAUUACUGACAUACUGACAUGCACAUGCAAAUAAAUGAUUGAGAAUACAUCGGUUAUCAUACAAAUUGAGUAUAUCAACUGAGUAAACAUAAUAUUAUUGUCAAACAUGUUGUCAAAAAAUUAAAAAUCAACUUACUUUAUGAUCUCUACCAACUUCAGAGAUUAUCUCCUUAAUUGUAGCAUCAUCACCCAUAUUAUUUUCUUUAAAAGCUGUUUCCAGUUCAUUCACAGUGAUAAAUCUACACAUCCCAAAAAGAACUUCAGUGUCCUUUCCAUAAUAAUAAUAAUAAUAAUAAUAAUAAUCAUAACAACAAUAAAAAUGAAAUAGAAAAAACUUCAUUUGUUAAAAAGCGAUUGUUAUUAUGGGAAAAAAAACACCGAAGGUAUGAAAUAAUAAAUAAAUAAAUUGAUAGUAUAUAGUAAAUAUAUAUGGGAAAAAAACACCGAAGGUAUGAAAUAAUAAAUAAAUAAAUUGAUAGUGUAUAGUAAAUAUAACUUUUAAAUAAUAAUUUUAGUAAAAAUAAUAAAGAUAAAGAUAACAUAGGUUUUUCAUCGGUAUGCGAUUAAAUCAACUAAGCUUUCAAAGCCCAAAUAAUUUCUUUUAGCCCCUAUCUCCUCAGGAUUCAAACUCCAGCAAUCAACCAAAUACAACUGUUUAAAAACCACUUAACCAAGCCAUCAGAGGCAGCCAUAUAUAUGUUUUAAAGUGCCAAAGAAUGGCAUAGGAAUUUAUUGGAACAAGAAACUUACUGAUCACUAUUCUUAUCAAGAUAUUGAAAGGCUUUCUCAAGAAGUUCAGGAGUUUCUAGCUUGUAUAUAUCCGUCAUGAGAUUUACAAAUUCAAUGAAAUCAAUAUUCCCAUUUCCAUCUAUAUCACCCUGGAGAAAUGCAGUGCCAACAGUAUAUAUCAGCCGAGUAUAUAUAAUAUCCGAAUAGACAGACACUAAAAUAAAUUCAGAGUUCAUGAAUUCCUUACAGCUUCCAUAUAUUGGUUGACUUCAGAUUCUUCAAGCGCUGAUCCGAGUUUAGCUAAUCCUGCCUUCAACUCACUGAGAGUAAGGGUGUCACUGUUGUCAGUGUCCAUCUCUCUAAAUUUUUCCAUUAGCUUUUGCUUUUCUUUUGUUGGAAGAUUUUCACACAAUGACCUGAAAAUCCAUUCAGUUUUAUCAGUAGAAGAAGCACAAUUAAAUGCAUAAAUUUAUUGGCUUGCACAUAUAUAGCUUACAGAAUAUAAUAACAAGUACUUUGCAACAAAAACAUUGUUGGUGAGGAAGUGCAGAUGCAGAAAUUCAAUCAAGCAUUUAACUAACGAUUGUCACUGUUGUAUCCAAUUCUCAUACUUGAGUCCUAAUCUGAGCUAGCUCCUAAAUGGGAAGAAUCUUUUUAAUUACAUGCGUAUGUAUAUAAUUAUUAGUUAGCUAGGUGUGGUCAAUGUCAUCUUUUUUUUUAUCAAUUGAAUUUUGAUCCGGUGUACGUGAUAUCGCGUGUGACAAACUAUCAUUAAAAGUUUUGUGGUUUGCAUGUGCGGCAUUGCUGAAGUUAUUUUCUGAAUGUGCUGAAGUUAUAAUUAAUUACCUGUAGAACGAGUUUCUUUAGCAUGUUCAUUGCUCUAAAUUGCUUGGUAUUCCUGAAAAAAAUUAACAGCGGUGUCAAUUAGCUAGCUUUGUCUGCACAAAUUGAACAUAUAUAUAUAUAUAUAUAUAUACACACACACACACGCUGCUGCUACUACUACUACUGGUACCAUCAUAAUUUGGACUAAAUAAAUUUUAGCUCAUAAUCAAAACAACAUAGAUGAGAAAAACUAAUAACUAUAGGAACCAGUCUUUGUGUUUUCUUACGAGAAAUUGAGCUGAAGUAAAUAAUGUGCUUUUGUAUAGCUGAUAUUUCUUCAAGACUAUAAGAAAAAUUAUAUAUGCAGUAUGUACAUAUUAUUUUAUAAAGUCAGAAAAGUAUUUACCCUAAUCCAAAUUUUUUGGCCUUGUCAGUGUAAAUGUGCGACACAUUUCUUAUAGUUUGGGGGCUUUCCACCAUUGCACGAAAUUCAUCGUAGCUGAUCAUACCAUCCUUAAAACACAAAUUGAAGACGUGACCCGUGAGAGCUUCCACAUAUUAAUAUAUAAUUCAGAGAAAUUAAUACUGUAGUCUGAAAAUCAAAAUUAAAAUCAACUUACUUUAUUACUAUCAAUGUCAGACAACAAUUCCUUAAUUUUAGCAUCAUCGCCCAUGUUAUUUUCUUUAAAAGCUGUAACCAGUUCAUCUAAUGUGAUAUAUCUGCACAUUCAGAAAAUAACUUCAGCAUCCUUUUCCAAUAAUAAUUAAAAGAAAAGCAUAACAAUAUCUGGUCUUUCUGAGGCUAUAGAUAUUAAAAUUGCCAAAUGGUCAUCAUUUUUUUUUUUAAAUUUUUUGACAUUAAUUUAAUUUAGAGUCAGAAACUUACCCACUAUUAUCCUUAUCAAAAUAUUGAAAGGCUUUGCUAAGAUACUCAGAUCUUUCUAGCUUUUGCCUUUGAAUCGUAGCAGCUGUAAACUCAGUGUAGUCAAUAGCCCCAUUUCCAUCCAUAUCAGCCUGCAAAAAAGUGUAUAUAUAUAUAUAUAUAUAUAUAUGGCAAACAAUAUCACUUGAGUGUAAUGAUGCCAAUCGAUAGACGGUAUAUAGAAUAAACUCAAGAGUUGAUGAAUUCUUUACAGCUUCCAUUAACUGCUUGACAUCAAAUUCUGUAAGCAUCGAUCCAACUUUAGUUAAUCCUGCCCUCAGUUCAUCGUAACUAAGAGUGCCAUUUUUGUCAGUGUCCAUCUCUAUGAACUUUUCCUUUAGCGCUUGUGUUUCUUCGCCAGGAAGAUAUUCCACAAUGACCUAAUAAAGAACCACUCAGUUCAUCAGAAGGGAUGCACAAUCAAAUUUACAAUUAAUUCAUUGGACCUGCACAUAUAGUUUAUGAGAUACUAUGAUCAAAACUCAAGAAUAAAUUAAUCAUUGUUGAUAUCAAUAACAAAUAAUAGAUUUUCAUACGUGAGUUCGAAUCCGGUACUAAUAUGGGCUUACCUAAAUUUUGAGGAGCUAUAUAUAUUGUUAGUUAGACUAAUUAAAUUAGAUUACCUUUACUGUGAGUUUCUUUAGUUUGCUCAUUCGCCUAAACUGCUUCAUCCUUAAAAUAACAGAAGUGUCGUCUGAUGCUUCUCCACCUUCUAUAAGCCAAGGAUGCUCUGCAUAUCAUGCAUUUAAUUCUCAGUGGUAUCGAUAAUAUUGGUGUGAUUAAUUGGACCCAGUAAAUUUUGAACUUAUAUACAGACUAUAAAACUAAACAGAUAACAAGCCUCAGGAUUCUCUGGUGCUGUCCACCUAGAAUUUGAGCAGCAGUAAUCCGCCUUUUUGGAUCCUUUGUCAGCAUCCUGCGUACCAAGCCCUUGGCAGUGCUGGAAAUACUUGGCCAUGGAUCAGUUUCAAAGUCAAUUUCUCCUUGCAAUAUAGCGUCGUAAGUGCCCUUCUUCGUUUCUGCAGGGUACAUAUAUACAUCAUCGCAAAUACUGAGUGACUAUAUUUACACUUGCUGUACUUAGUUAUUUAAGGUAAUGGAAAUAAACAUGUACAGGGUACGGUUGUUGAAGUGAAAAGAGAUCAUGCAUGUAGCUAGGCUGCAAAUCAAACGAAUAUUUUCACCUGCCCAAAAUGGAGGUACACCAGAUAGUAAAAUAUACAGGAUAACGCCUGCGCUCCAAAUGUCUAUCUCCUUCCCGUAUCUGCGCCGUAAUACCUCAGGAGCAAUAUAAAAACCGCUCCCUACAAUAUCUCUAUAUAACUUUCCUGGAAGUGUACCAUUAGAUCAUCAGUCAAGAAUUAAAAUUAAUGUUAUAUCUUAGAUAAGAUCAGAAUUUAUCUAUAUAAUUUAGUUUGAUGCGAGGUAAUACAAUUCACUGCCAGCCCGAGACACUGCGGAUGUAGCUUAGGAUCUAGAAUGGGUUGGCAAUUAAGUUGAUUAAUUUGAAAACUUUUUCUUUUGAUUUAUUUAUUUAUAAAUUGACAAGAAUAAUAACACUGCUUUUAUGUCUGCUUUUUUUGGUGAUUGAUUUGGCUUAUGGUUAAGGGUGGUGGAAAUUGUUGGGUCAAUUGUCGUAAGAAAUUUUGUAAUAUCAACUUUAGAUGCACUCAUGGUUCCAGCCAUAAGUUCCACCACCCUUUUCUAUUUUAAUAUAAUUUUCCUUGCUUCGUCAAGGCUUUUCACAAAAUAAAAUGAUUUGAUAUUUAAUCCAUCUUAAAAAAUAAAAUGUAUCUUAAGAUUACGGUGUUAGUUGAUUUUAUUUUUUUAUUAUUAAUAUGAUAAUAUUGCGUCAGAUUUCAUAUUAAUAAAACGAUUUCUUUUUUUUAAAAAACAAAUAUUCUCACCAUCUAAGCUUAACUCUUGAAAACAGUUAAAAAAAGGGGUUCAGGAAAGGAAACGAUCAAUUUGCAUAUUAGAAAAAAUUGUAGCUAAUUAAUUAAUCAAGGACGAGAAAUUACCCUCUUCAAAGAGAAGUGCGGACCCAAAAUCGGUGACCUUCAAAAGAGCAUUGUCAUCCCUGCUGAUGAAGCAGAAAUUCUCAGGUUUGAGAUCCCUGUGCAUAACGCCCAUGGAGUGGCAGACAUUCACAGCAUUCACAAUAGCCCUGAGUACAGGGGCUGCAUCUCUCUCACUAUAAUAACCCUUGGCAAUAAUCCUAUCAAACAGAUCACCACCUUGACAUAAUUCCAUAACCACAUGCACAGCAGUCUCAUCCUCAUGAGCACUCUUUAACUCGACAAUGUUAGGCUGCCCACUCAAGAGCCGCCUUAUCUGAAUCUCUCUUCUGAUCAUCAUAUCAUUUUCUGCAUAUUUCAUCUUUGGCUUCUUAGCCAUAGACUUGCAAGCAUAUGGCAUGUUGGUUGAAUUCUCGGUACAUAAAUAAGUCACACCAAAUCGACCCUACCCAACAUUCUGCCAAAAGAGUAAUGUAACAUAACAUCUUCAUAAGGUUUACCAAGAAUUGGAUAACGUUGGCGUUGGCUUUUGCUUACACAACACCCCAUUGAUUCUGCUAGAGACUGCUCGAGUACUGAUCUUUAGAAAUUAAAACUAAACUAGAAACCCAGUAGAGGAUUAAGGUAAGUGAAGGAAUAAAACAGGGAUAGUGAUAUUCUAAGAGUAUAGUAGGACCUGAGAUGACAAUCCUACGCGGUUUUGGCUUUAAAAUGUAGUUUACUAGAAAGAAAUUAAAGUCACCAAAAAUAAAGUCAUCGGCAAAACGGGUAGUGUGAACUUACGACUUGUCGUGUCUAUCAAGUAAACUUCUAUAUGAUAUAUGUAAUUAUCUGAAAUUAGUCAAUGAUAACGAAAGAAAAAAAAAUCAAAUUAUCAAACUUUAUCAAAUGAACCCGUCCAAAGGAAGACGAAGAAGAAGAAGAAAGCUAGGUUACCAUUUAGUAUCAUAUAUUAAUUUUAAAAAAAAUACAUAUGUUAGAUAUAUAUUUUAUUUUAUUUUAUUUUUCAUACUUUAUUAAGGCAUACAUUAUCAAUUUUUUUUUACGAAUCAAAUAAUUUUUUUAUAACUUAUUAUUUAUUUAAUUAAUAAAAUAUAAGUAUUGUCAAUGUUUAUGAGAUUAUAUAUGUCAAAAUAUUAUAUUUUAAAUUAUUUAUUUUUAAAAAACAAACAACUUAACGUAUAUAUUAAAAAAAAAUGUCAUAUAUAUAUAUACAUAUAUAUACAUACAAUUUCAGUCAAAUGUAGACUUAGACAAAAAAAAAUGUUAUAUUAGUUACAGGACAAAGAGAAAGUAACCAGAAUCUUGUCCUGAACUCCUUUUCAAUUGGAUAAAUAAACAUCGGCCAAUAAUAUUAUUUUUGUAAUAUUGUAUAGAAUCAAAUCAGUCCAUUAAUAUAUUCCAAAACUAAAACGUAAAGUAUAUAAUUAAAGUCCGCCAUGUUUAACAUAAGAAAUUGUUUCUAGAAUCGCUAGGAAAAUUCAAAUCGUUCAAUUUAAAGUGAGGAAAGGGGAGACGGACGAACCAAAGAGUUAUUGUCAGUGCCCAUAAACCCACAUAAGACCCCAAAAAAAAAUGAAAAAAAAACAAAUUUAUUGAAAUGAAGCUGUCAAAAGAUGUAUAUUUUAUAUAUCUUUCACUGUUAAAUAUAUAUAAUUCCAGUAUGUAUCUAUGAAUCAUGAUUGCGGGAAUAUGUACAAAUUUAAUGUGGUACAGCUGGGUCAUUGGUGAUAUGGACCUGUACCAUAUAUUUUUUUUAAUCUUUUCAAAUAAUGUAUUUAAAAAUACAACUCUUCAUUUAUGGGUGAAAGUUGGUGGUAUGUUCAGUAAAAAUGUAAAAUGAUUAUCAGGAGUUAAAUUUAAAAUUUUAUGAGUUUAUGAAUUUAUAGAGAUUAUUUUAAUAAAUUUAAAAAGAAUUAAAUUAAAUAUAGUAAAAUUAUUCAUAUAGGUUAUUUAUUGGUCAUGAGCAGAAUAUCUCUCGAGACGGAAAGUCAUAUAUAGUUAAGGGAAAUUAUCAGGUAUAUACUUAUACCCUUAAAUGACACCCAUAUCAAACGUGUGUGAACACUUUUUAAGUGUAUCACUCGUAUACCCUAAGUUGACAAAACACUUAUGUCGUCCACCAAUCCGUUAACUUCUGUUUGCAAGCGCUGACAUCAUAAAGGUAAUCUAGUCUUUUAAGAUUGACGAAAUCAUUUUUUUAAUAAAAAAUGUAUUGUUAAUAACAAAAUAUAAAAAAAUUAUGUAUUGAAAAUUUACGUUAAUUUUUGGGGUAAAUUUAUCUUUUUACCUCAUUUUGAGUUUCAAGGGUAAAAUAGUCAAUUUACCACAAUUCUGUUAACUUUCUAAUGGAAGUUAACGAAUUGGUGUACGGAAUAAGUGUUUUGUCAACUUAGAGUAUACGAGUGAUACACUUAAAAAGUAUUCACACACGUUUACACAAUUCUGUUAACUUUCUAAUGGAAGUUAACGAAUUGGUGUACGGAAUAAGUGUUUUGUCAACUUAGAGUAUACGAGUGAUACACUUAAAAAGUAUUCACACACGUUUAAUACGGGUGUCAUUUAAGGGUAUAUGACUGAUAAUUUUCUUAUAAUUAAAAAGGAGUUAUAGAAUUCAUAGUCAACAAUUUUCAAAUAUCAUGUUCACAUUCAUUUUCUUUUCUUUUUUUUUUUGUGGGAAAAAAUGUCAUGUUAACCGUGGAUGUAAAUUUGUGUAAAUUUUUGUUAUGCAAUUGAUAUCGUGCUAAAUUAUAAAUUUAUUAUAUAUAUUUGUAUUAGAAUUGUGUCUAUAAAUAACUAGAAAAACACACGUAUUAAGUAACACGACAACCUUAUUUUGAAUAAAAUAUACAUAUUUAACAAAAGAUAAGUCUCAAAAUGCAAUUAAUUAAAAUGUUAUGUAGAAUGUGUUAGCUUGGUAAACGCGUGUCCUUACAAGCAUCGUGUUCACAACUUGGUAAACGUGUGUACUACAAGCAUCGUGUUCACAACUAACAUUUUUUGUCUCAUUUUCUAUUUCUUUACUGAUUUUUUUUCAUGUUUUGAUUUUUUAAAAAAUAAAUCUAAUUAAAAAAAAAACUUAAUUCACGAUGUUGAGUAUGAUUCAAUAUUCUGAAGCGGGGAUGUAUUUGACAAGUUAGUAAACUUUCGGGUCUCACUUCGUAAAUUCUGAUCAGGGUGCCAUUUCCUUCUCCAAUUUUAGCGGGGAAAUGCUGCAAAAAGAUGCUGACGUGGCUAACAGAUUUGGUUGACUAUGUUUGACCAAACUGGGUUUAUAAGCUGUACAAGAUCUCAUUUGAAUACUUGAGGACUAAUUAAGUAGUGAAUUUAGGCUUGUUUUGAAGCUUGUGACAUUCUCUGUAAAUUCGAGUUAAAAAAUUUCACCAGCAUCCGAACAACUUUCUCAUGUUUGUUUCUUACAGCAUCAUGCAUAGGAGUGUUGCCUUCAUUGUCUGUCAUCAUUAAAAGGCUCUCGGUUUUGAUUCUGUUCCAUUUACAAUGGCCGGCACAUAAUACAAGAUUGUACUAACGAUAGCAGGGUCACCAAACCUCGCAGUUAUAUGCAAUGGAGUCUCACCCUUCUAGUUGCUAUUAUGGACAAGUGAAUCAUGUUGCCUGAGAAUCUUCGGUCUCACUUUAUGGUUUCGAAAUCUGAUAGCCAUAUGAAGCACUAUGUUGGCUUGGGGACUCAUUGUGCUGAAAAUAUUUUGCAUUCAACCUGCAAGUAGCCUGAUUUGAUGCUCAUCCCCACGUCUUAAUACAUUGAGUAAUUCUUGGUUGAUGGUUGGUAAUUCUAUAUCCAUGGUCAAUCCUUAGUAAUCUGUACCAAAUUCAGCCGCCAUAAAACUCCUCAGUAUCAUAUUAAGUACUCAAUCAAAUAACUUAAAUUAAAAAAGCACUUAAACUUCAACAAACCAUAACCAGACAUUAUGUAAUUAACAUUAGAGUUUUAUUUUGGUCAGAUUGAGCCAACUCUAUAUUGACUUAAGUGAAUGAGAUCAAAUUAUAUGAUAGAAGUUUGUUAUUACAAAUUAAAACUAAAAACAGAACCAUCAAUGAUCAAUGAUUAUGAACUAAACCUCCCUCAAUUUUGUAGCAAAAAUAUUGAUAUCUUAUUUGUAUUUUGGCCCCUGUUAAACGUCAGUAACCACAAAAUGACCCCUCCACGUCAUACAAAGUUAUCCUCUAAAGUAGUCUUUAUUAUACUGUAACCUCUAUUACUUAUUAGUUAUAGCAAAAUAACCCUCAAAUCAAAGAUUUUGAUUUGGUCACUGGUUGCAGACGGUCAAGAGACAAUACAUAGAAACAUUGGAGAACUUUCCUCAUGGAUAACAACCAUUUAUUAUUUCCAAACAACUGAGUUAACAAAGCUUAUUAGAAGAUUGAAGAUGAUACCAAGUUCAAACUUUUGCUUAAAAAUGCAAACUAACUGAGGAAAAAAAAAAGGUAAAAUGAAAACAUACCUUUGAAAGAAAAAUAGGGCGAAGAAGAAGAGCAGGCGGAGUCGGGUUGGCCUCUGCCCGGAGAAUCUCAAAUUUUUUCUUGAAUAUAAAGGAAAUGAAUUGAUUGAGUUGACUCACAUUGCCGCGUUCAAACUUCAACCCCACCCGCUCGAUGAAUGAGCCAGUUACAUGCCCAGUUGUCUUGUCUUGGCCUCCGCCUCACUAAAGAAAAAAAAAGUCUAAAAAUAAUAUUAAUAAUUUAAAAUGGGGUAAUGAUAUUUCUCCCAUUGCUUUCUGUAAAACCACCCCAUGAAUUAGCCCAUCCGAUUAAAAAUAAAUAAAUUAAAAUGAAUAUAUUUUGUAAAUCUAUCCUAUAAAUACCAAAAAUGCCCUUAUCUAUUUAAUAUUUAUAAUAUUUUCUUUUCUUUUCUUUUUUCUAGAUUUUUGUUUGUUUUAACUUAAAAAAAUAAUUGUUGACAGCUCAUAAGCCAACAUGUUAUCGAAGCCUUCACUUGGUAAUUCCUUUGAUAUCACAAGCCCCUUGCAUGUCAAGCAUUUAACAAUCCAUGAAAAUUCUAAGUUGACUUUUCAUUUUGUAUUUCCACUCCCAAACAUACUCAAAUUCAAGUCCAACUUACUAAUUUAAAAAUGAAAAUCAAAUCAAAUCAACACCAAAGCAAUGAAAAGAAAUACUUUUGAAUUAUAACUCUAGCAAAAUAAUUACAAAAUAUUAAAAAUAUUUUCUAAGAAGUCUAAAUAUUCAAGAAUCUAUUUAUUAAAUAUUGUAGUGUCAUAUGAUAAUUUAUUGGCUACUCAAAUCUAUCGUAUCUUGAGUGGCAACAUUAGGCACUAACUCUCUAAAAGCCAUUAUAUCAGUCGUAUAUAGAGUUGUCCAACCUACGGCACAUUGAUGAUGAUAUUUAAACCAUUUAGUUGCUAUUGGUGGUAUUGGUGAACCUGGUUGCAUAAAAACUUGCAUAAAGUUUAAAUCAUUGUUAACAUAAUUACAUAAUCAAUCAAUAGAUUAAAAUUAUUAUUGUACAUUUCUUAAAUAUUUUGUUCAUAUCUCAAUGAAACAGCAACCAUAAAUAUAUCCAAUUGCUAUAAUUUUAUGAGAUGAGCGUGGCCCUGGAAUAGAUCUCGAUGGAAGGAAUGUAAGACAUUGUUGUAUAGAUAUCAGUAACACUAUAACAUUAUAUUUGGAACCAAUAAAAUACCUAGUGUUAGGCAUGAUCAUCCAAUGAUCAUAUCUCGGGUUGGGCCCAAAAAAUGAAAGUGAAUGCAAGAGCUCUUGAUAUCUACCAGCAUAGCCUAACAAAAGAGUGUACUCAUUAUAAUGACAUUGUAAUUCAUCUACUAAGUCUCUUCUUACCUGAGCCUAAUUGUCCUCACUAAUGCCCAUCAAAUUAGCCAUAGCUCGAAAGCCACAAUUACCAUUGGUAGCAACAUCUUUCUUAGCUCGUAUAUAAGGUAUUAUUCCAUAAGGAAACAAAUUAAUGAAAGGAAUAGGUUUCAAUUGUUGUGAUUGACAAACCUUUUCCUUUUGUGGUUUUUUCAAUUACAAUGAAAGUGUACUAGAAGACAUAGCAUGUAUAGAUUUUCCAUUUUCAUUAAAUAAGACAUACUCAAAUUUAGAUGGAUUUCUAUGAGUAGAUGUAUCUACUUUUAAAGAAGAGCAACCAUGUGUUUUACCCUUAACCUCUGGCUUAAGAAAAAAAGUCGAUGCUGGAUUUGUGAGCUCCUUUAACUUUCUUAAUAAUUGAAUCUUAGCUAGAUCAUCACUAUCAUUGAAAAGCCUUAUAAUCAUCUCUAUCAUUGAAAAGCCUUAUAAUCAUCUCUAUCUUUGGUAUGCAACACAAUGUUUUUUAUUCAUCUUGAUUAACUUGUAGUAGGUCUACUUUCUUCCAAUGAGAAUGAAAAGAAGACAAAGGAAUAAGUCGACCUUCACGUUUGUACUAUGAAAUCUUGUAUGCACAUGGAAGUCCGUGAGUUUAUUGUAUUAUACAUCCACAAGCAAAAGCAUCUGCACCGGCAGAAUCAACUUGUUUAGACUCAUCAAGUAUCAUAGUGAGUGCAUUCAUUCGACAAAUCCUCUCAACUCUUUGAAAAUUGAUGGUUUAAAAUCAUGUUGUACCAUAGUUAAACUCCUCUCCAGUGAAGUCUUAAUCUUAAAGCAUGGAUUUUUGUCCAUGAUAACUGUUGAUAUAUUUUACUUUAAUUGCUAUGGUGUUAAUGUGCAAGUGUAUACAACAAGUAAUAAAAUUAUGAGUAUUCAAGAUCGUCUCCACAGGGAUUGAUGUUAUCAGACUUGCUACAAUCAUUUCAACAGUGCAAUCUCUGCUCUAAGGUCAAUCAAUGCAACCAACAUAACUAAAUACUUAAGGAAAAUAAAAUCAUAAUAAUAAAAAAUUUGCAAUGAAUAAAAUUUGCACGUUAAACACAAAGGUUAAAUAAAUAGGAAUGAAGUAGUUGAAUGAUUAAACUCUCUUAAUAGUGUUGAUUGUUUUAUUCAUAUUAGGUUCAAUUGCUACAGCACUGGGCAGAAACCAUCUUUAUCCUCAGCGGUAGCAUGUUGGAUGUCUUAUAUCUUUAUGCAACCUAACAAUGAUCAGUUGUUAUGUCAACAUAAGAUAUAACAUUACACGUUUAUGUUCUCUUUACCCUUCAAGGUGAAUCUCCAUAUCUAGUUAAUCACUAAUCUUAGAUUAAGCACGACCCUUUUUGGAUUCAAGUUAAACUCAAUGCAGAAAACUCAAUUUAAGACCAAGUAUUGCUCUAAUAUAUUCCACUGAGAUAUGCCCUUUUGCGGCUCUUUCUUAACUUGUAUAAUUAAAUGGGUGGUCAACCGAAAUAAUGAAUGUAAAUAAAUGUUAUUAAAGCAAAAUGUUAUAGCAAACAUGCAGUAACACCUAUAUUCAGUCAAUCAACCAUCAAGAUAGUUUAACACUCAACCACAAAUAAAUUUAGUUCAUAAUUUGUGAAAGGAAAAUAAACAACCAAGUUCUAGCCAUCGAACACAUCUUCAUGAUUAAUGAGUAACAAGAAAACAAGAAAAGAAUGAGAAAGUGAAUUCCAAUUGAUUCUGCAAAUUUCUUCUACUAGUGCAGCCUUGAAUUCUGAUUGGUAAUUCUGCUUCUUUUUUGUUUCUUUUCUGUUUUUGAUCUUGAUUGACGGCCUCUUCUUUCUUUUCUUUUCAUUUAUGCCUCCUUUUAUAAUCACAAAUUAGGGUAACUGGAAACUUUAGGGCGCGCAUCUUCACAUUAGGAAACUGCAGAUCACAAUAUUCUGAAUAUCUUGUCUAGAUUUUUCUCUGUCAAUGCCCGAGGAUUGCUACAGUAAUGGUUGCUACAACAAUGGCCACAACAUCUUCACUAUUCCCGACUUGCUCUAAUUCUUCUAUAGCCAUGCUUCAUUUGUCCUCUUUAUAAGUCCAUUGCAACAACAUUUUUUCCAUAAAUUUCAAGUUUACAUUGACCUUCAGUUAAAGAUAUGUUUUAGGUAUACAAUUAUUCAAAAAUCACAUAAACUUUAUUAAACUUAAACUAAAAUGAAUGUAAUGCAAACUAUUAUUACAGUGCACUAAAACACAUCAAUUACUUUCUAAGCAGUCUUGAUUUAAGCUUAAAAAUGCCAUGAUAACUCUCAUUUCAUAGAAUUAUUAAUGACUCAAAAGUGCUUUGGGAUGUCCUUAACUACUUCUUCAAUUAAGAAUGUGACGACUUGACCCUUUAACAAGUUCAAUAAAAAAAAAUUAUUUGAAUAACAACUUUUUUUUUAGAUUGCAAAAAUAAUAAUAAAAUAUAAGACUGUUGUCUUCAUUAAGUCUCAUGCAUAAAACUUUAUAGUUUGUUAAACUACACAUCUUUAUCUUUCUAUCUGUAUGUUUAUCAUUAAAAAAACUCAUUGUAUAUAAAUUUUUUUGAUUUUUCAAAUGUACAUUAGUGCUAGAAAAUUCUGAUUUUCGGCAGUAGUUCCCACUUCUAUAAUUUAUUUUCUAACUCAACCGAAUUUUGAAAAUUUUGGGAAUUUUAUAUUGUACGUAUAUAUGUCUAGUUUCUGUAUAUUUAAAUUCGUAAUUUUUGACUUUAUUUAAAAAUCAUAGAGUUAGGCUGUCGUAAUCCUAAAAAUUGCCUUCUAGAAUUGCUAGGAUUGACAUUGAAGUAAGUUUGGGUUACUUUUUCAUUAGUAACUGCCUUAUAAAUUUUAAUUUUAAUUAUUUAUUGUUUCCUCUAAUCGUCAAAACUUGAAUCACUAUUUUUAAACAUGUAUAACGAAAGUUAUUAAAUUUUGAAUCAACAAUUCUCUGUUUUUUUUAUCAUCACUAGACAAUUUUGGUGUUUUUGCGGAAAAUCAAUUUCAAAUAUGUUUAUGAACUCUAAUUAAUCUUAUUAAUUUAUUUUAUUGAAUGUCAACAUGUUCAAGUAGCUUUGUAUAACAUUUAUGAUUUUUUCCGACAUAGUUAUAACUAGGGGUGGGCAUUUUACCCGACCCAACCCGAAAAAUUUCGGGUUCGGGUCAGAUCGGGUCGGGAUUGAAACCCGAUCGGGUUGUGAUCGGUUCGGGUCAAACCCGACCAGAUUCGAAUACCCGAUCGGGUUGCAAAAAAAAAAAAACAAAACCUAAACCUAACACUGCCCAGCACACACACACACACACACGCUGCAUAGCAGCACACACACACGUUGCACACAAUCACUCAACAAUUCACAAAUUCACAAACCUGACACACACACACGCUGUCAGCCACACACCACCAUCACAAGUUCACAACUUCACAAAUCACAAGUUCAUUGUCAAACUCAAACACAAACAAGGCAGCCGCAAGUCCGCAACCAGCCACCACAAGACUCACACACACCAGUCCUGCAGUCCAUGAUCUGUUGCUGCCAACUGCUGAAACCACGAUCUAUUGUUGCCAAGUGAAGCUGCGACCAACUGCUGCCAAGUUAAACCCAUCCAACCGUGAGCCGUCCGUAUCUCCCAAGUGAAGCCGCGACCUGCUGCCAGUGAAAUCGCGUCCAGCCGUGAGCCGUGGCCACCGAUCUGCUGCUUGAAGGCCGAAUCCUCACAACCUGUCCCGACUUUCUCCCUACCCGAACCGGAUUUUGAAGCUUUCCAGUUUCAACUUUCAAGCUUCAAAAGUUUCAAGUUUCCUAUUUCCUAAGUCGUAACUUUCAUGGUAUAUAACUAUAUAUAUACUAUAUAAUUAAUUAAUUAUAUGUGCUUAAUUGUUAAUUGUUUAUUAUGUAAUUCAGUAAUUGGUUAUUAUUUAAUUGUUGUAAUUAUGUAUUUAUAAAGAUUAUUAAUAAAAUCAAAGAAAUUUUGUUAAUUAUUGAGCUCUUCAGAAUUUUUUUUUCAUAUAUAAAAAGGAAUUGUUGAUUGGUGGGUUUUGUUUUUAUUUCAUUGAUUGUUAUCGUUUGCUCUGUUUAGCGAAUAAACCAUAUUGGCUGUCAAGCAUAAAGGACAUAUGAAAAUGGUGUUAGCUAGCGAAUAACAAAUUUUUUGUUAAUUAUUAAUAAUUGAAAUAAUAUUAAUUGAUAAUUGUUAAUAAUUGAUUUUUUAUGAAUAAAUUAGCACAUUAUGUAGAUUAAAUAUUAAAAUUAAGUAUUAUGUUGUAUAUAUUUUAUAAUUAUAAUGUAUUAUGUGAUUAAGUUUCAACCCUAAAAAAAUUAAUAAGUUCAAUUAAUAUUUUAUUGUAUGUUAAAUUGUUAAUCAUCCGUUAAGUCGUUAAGUACAAAUAACUACUAACUUGGGCUUGAAAUUAAAGGGUUUAUAAUAAGAAUUAAGACAUAGAUAGACAAAUAUUAUCAUAUUAUUAUGGGGAAUGAGUAAUUAGAUAUUAUAAAUAAAUAUAAUAAUUGAAAUAAUAUUAAUUGAUUAUGUUAAUAAUAUUUAUGUGUUUUGAUUUUUGAAUUAAUGAUUAUUAAUUAUUAUUUUGAAUAUUCAGAUGCUUGGACACUCAAGAUCGGAUUCAAUGAGUGACGAUGAAGAACAAAGUGUACAAAUGGAAGGAACCCAUAAAGGAAAGGAAAAGGCGAAGCGGAAAAGAUCGCCAAUGAAGAAAAGAUCGGAAGUAUGGAAUCAUUUCACUUUACUCGAAGAUAAUCCAAACAAAUGUAGGUGCAACUAUUGUGGUAAGUAAUAUCAAUGUCAUUCAAGGCUUGAUGGGAUUACAAAUAUGACAAGGCAUAUAAAGACAUGUGAAUCAUACAAGACAUUUCGGGCACAACAAAGUGGAAGUCAACAAAAUUUGACAUCCGAGGGCGGCGAAGAAAAUGCAAGUAAUUUGGUUUUGGGUAAAGGAUGGAGUUAAGACGCGUGUCGAAGGGCAGUAACUAAAAUGAUUAUUAUGGGUGAGUUGCCGCUCAGUUUUGUAGACAACAAAGGAUUUAGGCAUUUAUGCAGUGUAGCUAUCCCUCAGUUUGUUAUGCCAUCUCGAAGAACAAUUGGUAGAGAUGUUAUGGAGUUAUUUUUGGAGGAAAAUGCAAUGUUGAAGAGUUUGAUUUGCAACAACAAGCAGUAUGUGUCUCUUACAACUGAUUUAUGAAUUUCCAUUCAAAACAUGAGCUACAUGGUGAUUACAGCUCAUUUUAUUGAUAGUGAUUGGUGUUUGAAUAUGAGGAUUAUUAGUUUUAGCGCAAUCGAAGAUCAUAAAGGGAAGUCGAUUGGCAAAAAGAUUGUAGCUUGCUUACAUGGUUAGGGGAUAAAGAGGUUGUUUUCAAUAACUAUUGAUAAUGCCACUGCAAAUGAUAUGGUUGUUGGUUAUGUCACUAUGCAGUUACUUACUUGGAGGAAUGAUGAUGCACUUGUGUUGGCGGGACAAUAUAUGCAUGUGCGUUGUUGUACACAUAUUUUGAAUUUGAUUGUUGUUUCAGGAUUGGGAGAGUUGCAUGCUAGUGUUACUGCUAUUCAGAAUGCUGUGAAGUACGUGAGAUCCUCCAGCAUGAGGUUGCGGAUAUUUAAACAAUGUGCUGAGCAGGUGAAUUGUCCAAAAUGAAUUGUUGUUUUGGAUUGUCCUACCAGGUGGAAUUCCACUUAUUUGAUGUUGAUGACUACGCUGAAAUUUCAAGCGGCAUUUGAUAGAAUGGCAGAAGUGGAUAAACCUUAUGAGGCAUACUUUGCUGAGAAAGAAAAUAAUGUCAAAAGGGUUGGCCCACCUGGACCGGAGGAUUGGGAGAGUGUUGAACGAAUUGUGAAGUUUUUGAAGGUAUUUUAUGAUGCCACAUUGUUGUUUUCUGCCUCUUUGAGUGCGACUUCUAAUCUUUAUUCUGAUACUAUUGGCUUAAUUGAGAGUUCAUUGACUGCAUUGCAAGAAAGUAUAGAUCUUUGGGUGUCCUCUAUGACUUAUAGUAUGAGGAAAAAAUUUGAUAAGUAUUGGGAGUCCACAGGAAAGAUAAACAAAAUGUUGAUUGUUCCAUCUAUUCUUUAUCCACGAGCGAAAAUGGAUUUUGCUACACAUAUUUUUGAGAUCAUUUUUGGCAAUGAUAGCUUGAUGGUGGAACAAAUGACCAAAGCAGUGAAGGACUUGUUGAAUGAGUUUUAUGAUGCAUAUAGUGCAUUCUCCGCUAGUUCCAUACCAUCGAUGUAUAGUGAGAGUGGUCUUAGUGGCAAUUAUGGAGGUACAAGUUCUUCUCAACGUUUUACAACUGAGGCUAAUUUUGUGGAUGUUGCUGGUGGUGAAUGUGAUGACCCUUUUCGAGUUGUUCGCCCUUUCCUUGGAUAUGCUAGGAAGGUUUCUGUUCAGAAUGAGAGUAGAAGAGUAGUAUCUCAGGUGGAAAGGUACUUGAAGAACCCAGUUGAAGAUCCCAGCAAUCUUAAACUUAAUGUUUUGCUUUGGUGGAGGGUGAAUGGAUUGAGGUAUCCAAUUCUAGAGAAAAUUACAAGAGAUGUCCUCGCUGUUCCUGUUUCCACAAUGGCAUCUGAGUCUGCCUUUAGCACCGGGUAUGGUUGAGGCAUUGAUAUGCAUUGAAAAUUGGCUGCAGUCUAAACUUUUUGCCAAUCCCGUCUACAACCUCCAAGAAGAUAUUAAGGAGCAAAUGUUUCAUAUGGAAUUACAAGAAGGUAAUGUUUUUAAUUUUUUUAUCAUACAUUCUAUACAUAAAUUAUUUAAAAUGCAUUAUAACUUUAUAUAGAACAUCUACAUGCAGUCAUGUAUUUGAGUUACUAUUUUUAUUUUUUUUUGGAUUUUAUAGAGCUUAUAAGAUCGCAAGCUUCGACAGUAGAAGCGGUGAACGCCGACAUUGGUGUUAUAGAUAUUUGAAAGGUAACUUUUAAUAUACAUUAUUAUUCAUAAUUUGAUAUUAUAGUACUAUUAGUAUUUGGUUGUAAUUUAAACUAUAAUUAUAGUUGUUAUAGUUUUAAAUUUUAAGUCUAAUUUGUAAUUGUUUUAGUUAGACAAGUUAAAGUUGAUAGAAUGUUAUUAUUGUCUAGUAUUAUUAUUAACUUGAUUUGGUGAUGAAUGCCAUAAAAUAAAUAAAUAAAUAAAUAAAUAUAUAUAUAUGUAUAGUCCUAAAAUUUGCAGUGUGUGUGUAUUGAAAAAUUUGGUAAACAUAUAUAUUUAUUUGUAAUUAUAAAUUUAUAAUGAUAUAAUAGAAAUUAGAAAUAUUGUAACACCCCUUUAGCUUAAUUAAAGAUAUGAAUUAUAUUUAUUUAUUUGUGUUUGUGUUUGAUGUGUAACCUUAUGAAUUUGGUUUAUUUGCUAAAUUUUUUAUAUGAAUUGAGUUUGUUCAUUUGCAAUGUGGCUUAAAGAAAAUAUUUAUUGUACAUUUUUUCAAUCUUUCUCUAGGCAAUUGGCACUUGAACUUGGAGUUAAAAAAUUUGAAUUUAGAACUUGUCAAAGUGCUUGCAUGGAGCCAUGAAGCAACCAAGGUGGAGGAACCAAGAAAGCCUAUUUAGUUUUAAUGUUUGAACAUUGAACUUUGAACUUUGUGAUUUGUGUUUCUAAACAAUUUAAUUAUGUUUAAAGUUUUUGAUUUUGUGAGUUUGUGUUUCAAACUUUCAAAGACAUUAUUUGGAAAUUGUGUUUUGGACUUUGUAAGUUUGUAUUAAUUUUAAGUUUUAUUAAGUUUGGACUUUGUUGGUUGAGCAAAUAAUAGUCCUAAAAUCCUACCCUCCAAGCCAAUAGGUAAAUAAUCAUAUUCUAGCAUUUUAACUUUAUUCAUUUGAUUUAAUAGCAUUUUCUUUUCUUUUUUUUUUCAGUUGAAAAUUAGUAAAAAUGACUACAAUUAAGAAAAAUGUCUUAAAACUAUCAUAAAAACUACAAAAAUAGGAAAAAAAGAGCUCAAAAUUGCAUUAAUUGAAUUUGACCCGACCCGACCCGAUUUCACCCGAUCCGAACUGACCCGAUUUGACCUGAACUGACCCGAACUCAAUCCGACCCGUUUUAAAUCCAACCCGAACUUAACCUGAAUUAUUGACCCGACCUGAUCCGACCCGAAUAUAAUUCGGGUCGGGUCAAUAGUUCGGGUUAAGUUCGGAUUGAUUCUUGACUAACCCGAACAACUCGAAACCCGAUCGGGUUAACCCAAACCCGACCCGAACCCGGUUUUGCCCACCCCUAGUUAUAACUUGUUAGAAAUCAACUCCUGCAAGAUGGUCUAGUCUAGUUUAGUGAAUUAAUGUGCUUAAGUAAGAGUAAAUGGUUUAAGGUUUUUGGGUUUUCUUAUCAAGGUCAAAAUUGAGUAAAAUACUAACAAGAAUCUUAUCUUGAUAAUUAUAGGAUAAGAGUGAGCUCGUAUGAUUGGGGUUAUUAUUGUUUGCUUUGAAUCGAGAUAAGUGAAUUCAUGCAUAAUGUUUAUUAUAAGUAUAUAGGUAAAUAUAUAUGUAAAGAAUAAUGGAUUUCUUGUGUAUUGGCAUUUUAUUAUAUCAAAGUAAAUUUACCGUUAUAGUUUAUGAGAAUAAGUUUUAUUUUGACUAAAAACUUACUUAAAAUGUUUUCUUAAAUUUGUUUUAAAAACUACUUUAAAAUACUUGUCUUUUCAUAAAUUGAUCUUAGAAGAGCAAUUAUUGAAACACUGAAAAUUGUGUUUAAGGUUUUGCCUCAUUGUCUGUCGUUACCGUUACUAAUAUUGCUGAACAACUAGCUACAUUGUGUUCAUUUAUUAACGAUUAUUGCACGGUAACAUACCUUGAUUGAACUAUUGACCGAGUCACUGGGGUUAAAGUGACUUACUAAACUACUGAUCGGGUCACCGGGGUUAAAGUGAUUUACUGUGUUGAGGUCAUCGGGAAUACAAGUGACACUUUAUGGCAUGAGCAAUUGAACAGAUGAAAAAGUUUUAUUGAUAAAUGAUUUCUUUGAUGAUUAUUUAUUGAAAAUGAUUAUUGUUGUGCAAAUUUUAUUGAACUCACAAGCGCACGAAUCUAUUAUAGUAUAGAUCAAUAGUGACGAGUGUCGAUCCCACGAGAAUGUGGAUUUUAAUUAUAUGUAGAAUUAAUUUUUCUAAAUGGGUGGUUGGAAUUAUGAUAAAGAUGAUUUAGAAUAUCCUAAAAUUUAAAUUGAAAUGACAUAAUUAAAUUAAAGUGGAAACUAUAAUAAUUGAAGCGCUUGGGUAUCUGGAUCCGCAUCAACAUGCACCAUGGGCUAAAUAUUCCGUAUUAGUGCCAAUUAAAUCAUGAGGGGGAAAUUCACACCUCAUGAACCACACUCUAAUCAAUAUGGUGCUAAGGGCUUAUUGUGCCAAAUAAUAAUAACCUUGUACUAGGGAGCCGGUGAAACCAGAGCGGUAUCUAGACAAGAUUAUUAUUAUUUGUCGACGAAAAGUCAAAACAUCCACAAAAAUUAGAGGGGAAGAGAAAAUAAAUUUACCAAAUAAAGCCCAUGACACAUGUUGAGACUUCACCUUCAACCCAAGCUUGAAAGAAAAUUAGCUACUCAUAAUUAAAUUAAGGGCAAAAUGGAAAUUUAUUAAAAUACGUAGAAAAUAUAAGAUGGAGAAGGAAUUACAGAAAAUGAAUCCCAAAAAUGGAUUCAGAGAUACCAAAUUAGGGCGGGAAGGCCCCCUUUUUAUAGAUACAUUGGGUAAAUCAUGGCCAUCAGAUUAAAAACAGUUUGGACGCUUAGGAUUGCGUCACGUCAUCCGUCAACAGUACGCGGUUUGAAUAGUGACACGGUUUGACCACGCGGUUUGAAUAGUCAAUCGGCUUGAACAGUGACGCGAUUUGGUUUAAAAUAAUCCUGUGUAUAUGCAUGUACCGUACGCGCGAUUUUUGGUCCACUAAUAUGCGGCCACGUCACCGAUCAACAGUGCAUAAGAAUUUUCUCCAAUGGAAUCGUGACACCUCAUCAGUCAAUGUCACAUCAUCGGUCAAUGCCACAUCAUCAUUCCGUCUAUGUGAACAGUGUCGUAAACAGUAACAUGGACAAUAUCGUACAUGUGAAUAGUGUCGUACAUGUGAACUGUGCUAUUUUUCCUUUUAUACUCCUCCUAAGGUUUUCGACUGUCCUGAGUUCAAAAGUGAUGUCCGUUUUGCCAUCUGAUCUCUCGUUCAUUCUAAAAUGACCAUGACACCCCUAAAAUGCAUAAAAUACUUAAUUAAAAUAAAAUACACAUAAUUAAAUUACAAGAGGCUAAAAUACAUAAAAGUAGAAGUGUUAGGAAAACUUGAAGUGUAAAAUGACGAUUUUCUCCUUUAUAAAUAUACAUUUUCUAACACUCAACAAUUAUUACGUUAUGAUUGAACUGAUUAUGAGUUUUACUGUACAUGUGUAUUAGAUUAUAAAAUGAUUAUUGAUUUUUAACUUAUGGUACUUGAAAAUGAUUGCGGUAUCUAGACAAGAUUAUUAUUAUUUGUCGACGAAAAGUCAAAACAUCCACAAAAAUUAGAGGGGAAGAGAAAAUAAAUUUACCAAAUAAAGCCCAUGACACAUGUUGAGACUUCACCUUCAACCCAAGCUUGAAAGAAAAUUAGCUACUCAUAAUUAAAUUAAGGGCAAAAUGGAAAUUUAUUAAAAUACGUAGAAAAUAUAAGAUGGAGAAGGAAUUACAGAAAAUGAAUCCCAAAAAUGGAUUCAGAGAUACCAAAUUAGGGCGGGAAGGCCCCCUUUUUAUAGAUACAUUGGGUAAAUCAUGGCCAUCAGAUUAAAAACAGUUUGGACGCUUAGGAUUGCGUCACGUCAUCCGUCAACAGUACGCGGUUUGAAUAGUGACACGGUUUGACCACGCGGUUUGAAUAGUCAAUCGGCUUGAACAGUGACGCGAUUUGGUUUAAAAUAAUCCUGUGUAUAUGCAUGUACCGUACGCGCGAUUUUUGGUCCACUAAUAUGCGGCCACGUCACCGAUCAACAGUGCAUAAGAAUUUUCUCCAAUGGAAUCGUGACACCUCAUCAGUCAAUGUCACAUCAUCGGUCAAUGCCACAUCAUCAUUCCGUCUAUGUGAACAGUGUCGUAAACAGUAACAUGGACAAUAUCGUACAUGUGAAUAGUGUCGUACAUGUGAACUGUGCUAUUUUUCCUUUUAUACUCCUCCUAAGGUUUUCGACUGUCCUGAGUUCAAAAGUGAUGUCCGUUUUGCCAUCUGAUCUCUCGUUCAUUCUAAAAUGACCAUGACACCCCUAAAAUGCAUAAAAUACUUAAUUAAAAUAAAAUACACAUAAUUAAAUUACAAGAGGCUAAAAUACAUAAAAGUAGAAGUGUUAGGAAAACUUGAAGUGUAAAAUGACGAUUUUCUCCUUUAUAAAUAUACAUUUUCUAACACUCAACAAUUAUUACGUUAUGAUUGAACUGAUUAUGAGUUUUACUGUACAUGUGUAUUAGAUUAUAAAAUGAUUAUUGAUUUUUAACUUAUGGUACUUGAAAAUGAUUAUCAUGUACAUUAUUGUUAUUAGUAAUCUUAUGCAUGAGUUUGCUUACCAAGCUGACAGCUAACCCCUCUUCUCUAAUAUUUUGCGGAUUGAUUUUAGAGAUGUGGGCCUUUUUUGUCUAGAGAAGAGAAUUUGUUAGCUGAAAAGCUUUGGCAUUUUCUAAUGAAUAAAUCGUUGCGACUCUGGUUAUUAUUUAGACCUGAAUUUUUAGUUUGGGGGAUUACUGUUAUAUUUAUUAUUUUAGAGACUAUGUUUCAACUACGGCUAAUAUUAAUUUUCUUUUCAGAAUUGCAAUAAGAUUAACGCUAUGAGGUUUCAUUCCAAAUUUCUCUUGCGAUUAUUGAGUGAAUUUGGGGUGUUAUAAUUGGUAUUAGUUAUUCAUCAACCUCAUAUGGCUUAUACACUUCUUAUCCCAAUCAUCAUAUUGCUUUUAAUUGCUACAAUGGAUGAAUCAUGCUCCAAAAUUCAACCCACCUUUUACUUCUCAAGUUGUUCUUUCUCUAGAAGCAAGAGAGGAUCCAUUUGGUAUAUAGAUGCUAAAGCUUCAGGUCAUAUCACAAAUGACUCAGGUAAGCUCUUUGAUCUAAAACCUUAUCUUGGAUCAUAAUGACUGCUUGUUGGAAAUGGAAAUGCAUUGCAAAUUAAACAUGUUGGAUCUGUAUUGCUUGCUACAUUAAUACAUGACUCAUUACUUCUCAACCAUGUCCUCUAUAGUCUAGACAUUACUAAAAAAUUAUUAAAAAUCUCAUAAUUCUUAACUGAUAAUGAUGUUAUUGUUGAAUUUGUUGAAAUUUUCUAUUUUAUUAAUGGCAGGAAAAUAUGAAUCCUUUUGCAUGGAGGGUUAGCAAAAGAGGGCUUGUAUCAUAUUCAAGAAAUUUCUUCUUCUCUUCAAGUGUCAAGUGAAGGCUCUUUAAUUCAGUGCUGUCAAGAUCUUUACAAUAAACUUGCAUCCAUCUUUGCUACUUUUUAUAAUUCUAAUGUGUUUAGUUCAGUUGCAUUUAUUGGUAUUAAUAAGUCAUGUAAUCAAGUUGUCUUAUCAGUGUCUAUAUUCCUUUUUUAUAUUAAUCUACUUCAUUAGAGAUUUGAUCAUCCAGCUCCACACACACUAAAAAUUGUUAUAAAGACUUGUAAUGUAUUUGCUAGUAUUAAUAAAACCGUGGAUCUUAGCUUUUGUAAUGCUUGUCAAUAUGGCAAGAAUCGUCUUAAACAUGUUGAUUCUGUUGUUACUAAAACAACAACACCAUUACGAUUAUUUUAUGCUAAUCUUUGGGGGCUUUCACACAUUAUUUCUACUCAAGGUUACAAUUAUAAUGUAUCAAUCUUAGAUGAUUAUAACAGGUUCACAUAGAUUUUUCCACUGACAACUAAUCUGAUUCUUUACAAGUUUUUACUACCUCUAAAACCUUAAGUAAAAAGCAUCUUGAUAAAAUGUUAAAAGCAGUUCAAAUACAUUAUGAGGUGAAUGCAGAUCUUUUUCUUCCCUGUUAACUACUUCUGAUAUUCACUUCAAGCAUCCUUAUCCUCAUAUCUAUAAUAAAAAAAUAGAGAGAAAACAUACGCAUAUAGUUGAUAUUAGGCUGACCUUGUUAGCUCAAUCCAAUUCGCCUCUUAGCUUCUAGUGGAAUGCAUUUCACACUACUAUUUUUCUUAUAAAUAGAUUGCCUACUCCUAUUUUGAAUAACAUUUCACUUUAUUUCAAACUUUCUAAAAAAAAAAUGAGACUACUCUAUUCUUAGAGUAUUUCGUUGUGCCUGUUACCCUUAUCUCAACCCCUAUAGCAAACAAAAACUUGAAUUUAGGACAUAAAGAUGUAUUUUUAAUAGGUUACAAUCCACAUCAUAAAGGUUAUCAAUGUUUGCAUUCUUCUGGAGAGUCUACAUUUCGAAUCAUGUCACUUUUGAUGAAAAAUCCUUUCCCUAUAAGUUAGGUGUUGAUUUCUCCUCUAUCUUUGAUUCAUGUUUGUCAAGUUCUGACAAUAAAAUGUCAAAUUCUGCGAUACAAGUCCUUCAAACACCCCAUGUACCACAAUAAUCAUCAUAGUAAAUAUUCUCUUCUCUACCACCUUAUAAUCCUCUUAUAUUGGACUCAAACUAUAACUCAUCAAAUUCACUAAUCACCAAUACAACUUCACAUUCUUAUUCUCUUAUAUCUCACUCAAAUUAUAACUCACCAAAUUCACUAAUCAUCAGUAUAUUUUCACAUUCAUUUCUUGAUCAUCAUUUACCUCAUUUUCAGUUUCCUGGUCAUCUUAUAAUUACUAAGUUUAAGGCUGGCAUUUUCAAACCUAAAACCUAUCUUACUGCCCUUUUAGCUUAACCAACCGAACCAACCUUAAUAACUCAAGUGUUAUAAGAUCCAAAAUGGUUUAAUGCUAUGCAAGAAGAGUUUAAUGCUCUUUAGAACAAUCAUACUUAGAUUAUAGUGCAGCCAAUAACAUCAUUCAAGAUGGUGGGUUUUCAGAAUUAAUAAACUCAGAUGGCUUAAUUUCAAGGUACAAAACUAGAUUUGUUGCAAAAGGUUUUUAUCAAGCUUAUAGUGUAAAUUACACUGAAACCUUUAGCCCUGUUAUUAAGGCUUCUAUAGUGAGAAUAAUUCUGAGUUCAACAGUGAUGAGCAAAUGGGUUAUUAGAAAAUUUGAUGUUAAUAAUGUCUUUCUCAAUGACAUCCUUGUUGAAGUUGUGUACAUGGCACAACCAGAGGGUUUUGUUGACCUUUCUAAACCUCAUCAUAUAUGUAAGCUACAAAAGGUAUUGCAUGGUCUCAAAUAGGCACCUAGAGGCUGUUUUGAUAAAUUCAAGAGUGCAAUGACAACUCAAUAUGGAACUUUAAGCAUUCAAAGCUGGAUUCUUCUUUAUUUUUUAGAUGGGAUACUAGUCACAUUUUGCUGGUAUUAGCCUAUGUUGAUGACAUUUUAUUAUCACUGGAUCUAAUCCUCAAAGUGUAUUAAAAUGAUAUUUGCUAUACAAGACACAUUUGCUCGUGAAGACUUAGGAGAGCUUUCAUUAUUUCCUUGGCAUAGAAGUUAACAAACUUAGGAGAGCUUUCAUUAUUUCCUUGGCAUAGAAGUUAACAAAAGCAAGGAAAGCUCACUUGUCACAAAGUAAAUACAUAGCCGACUUGCUGGUUAAACAUGGUAUGAACACAUGCAGUCCAAAACCAACUCCAAUGGUUACAUCUCAUUCUCUUACUAAAAACCGAGGAACUAUUAUCUCAAAUGCCUCUUAGUAUAGAAGUACUAUAGGGGCAUUGCAACAUGUAACAUUGACAAGACCUGAAACAAUAAUUCAGUGAACAAGUCAAUUCAAUUUCUUUUAGCCCAACAGAUGAGCAUUUACAGGCAUGCAAAAGACUACUUAUGUACUUGAAGGGGACAAUUCAUUAUGGGCUUUAGUUCUCUUCUAAUGGCAGUUAGCAUAUUAAUCACUUUACAGAUUCAGAUUGGGAAUGUGACAAAGAUGAUAGGAAGUUCUGUGGAUUAAAGCUUUUCUCAUUGAAUUAAAGCUCAAAAUUGAUCAUACACCAAUUAUGUGGUGUGAAAAUCAAGGAGCAAUUUUUUUGGCUACAAAUCGAGUGUAUCAUGCCAAAACCAAACACAUUGAGCUGGAUAUACAUUUAAUUCAUAAAAAAGUUCGAGCUAAUCAAAACAUAGUCUAUUUUGUUCCUAGUGCUGAUCAGACUGCCAACAUACUUACUAAAGCUUUGACUUAUGGACAGUUUCAUUAUCUCAUAACCAAGCUGAACAUUCGUCCUGAAUAGUUCAGCUUGAGGAGGGAUGUUAGCAUGUGUGAAACAGAGAAAGCAGAGCACCACAAGCUCACUCAGUAGUCAAAUAGUUGAAUAAAUCUUAGCUGCAGACAUGUCAAAAUUAGUUAUACAUGUCAGCUGCAAUUGUGACAAACUCUUUACUGUGUAGAAUAGUCUAGUACCUUCUAUGAUCAAUUUGUUAGAUUCAUUAAAGUUACUAUAUAAGCUAGGUUGUAGUCAUUCUCAUUAGUUUCUGAUCUAUAACAGAUUUGAGCAUUGUUUCCAAAACUUCUCUUCAAACUUUCCUUUAGUUUCUAGAACUUUCUGUUGAAAGUCAUGGCUGGCGCCGGCCAUCUAGAUGGCCGGUGCCAACCAUUCAACAUUCAACACGGCCCGCCAUUAUUGGUGGUGCCGUGUUGAAUAACUCCAUUAAAAAAAAAAAGAGCCAAAAUUUUGGCUAUAUAAAGAGGGCUUCCCACCCUCAUUUUUCAUCAAAUCUUGAGAGAGCAAUUUAGGGAGUUGAGAGAGAGUUUAAGAGCUUGCAUUUAUAAGCCUCUUAUUUUAGUGAUUUGAGAGUUUGGGUGUAUUGGGGUUUUGGGUAGUGAGCUAAAAUACUACAAUACUUAUAACUCCUUUUCACUAGUAAAAUAUUUUCUUCUGUCUUUGCCCGUGGACCUAGAGCUAAAAACCGAACUACGUAAUUUUCUAGUGUCUGUGCUUGUUCUUUAUUUUUCUUCUAAUUUUAUUUUAGCUGCGUGUCUGCUUCACCCACCAAUUUCCUAACAGUGGUAUCAGAGCUAUUGGUUGUAUUUUUUUGGAGUCAGGAACUGUUCACGUAAGGGAUACUAUUCACGUAUACGGCACUGUAUACGUAUACGAUACUAUUCACGUAUACGAUACUGUUCACGUAUACGAUUUUGCAAGAAUUUUACAGUGUAAAGCAGGGAAUAGUGGUGUGACUAAAGCAACUGUGUGGUUUUGUACAUGUCUAGGAAAGUUCUGUCACAAAGGCGAUAAAAGCUUAAGGAGUUUGGGUUUUAAGUGGGACUAUUGUGACCCCUCCAGUCUUUCCUGGGAACUUUCCUGGGAACUUUCCUGAUAUGCAUUCUCACACAUACUCACAACUAUUCAAGGUGGUACACUAGCUUGUGUGUGGUAUUUAUCAACAAAAUGGCAGCAAAGUAUGAAAUUGAGAAGUUCAACAAAAAUAAUUUUUCAUUAUGGAAAAUGAAGAUGAAAGCUGUAUUGAGGAAAAAUAAUUGCUUGGCAGCAAUUGGAGAAAGAUCCAUGGAGAUAACUAAUGACAAGUAGAACAAAGUAGACGGCAACGUCGUUUCUGAUCUACACUUGGCACUUGCAGACGGGGUAUUAUCCAAUGUGGCAGAGAAAAAUACACGAAGGAAAUAUGAAAUACUCUCACAAAAUUGUACGAGGCGAAGUCACUACACAACAAAAUCUUCUUGAAGAGGAAACUCUAUACUCUUCGAAUGGCAGAAUCUAUAUCAGUUACCAACCACAUCAACACCUUGAAGACUCUAUUUUCACAACUCACAACAUUGGGUCAUAAUAUAGAGGAAAAUGAACGUGCAAAACUUCUACUUCAAAGUCUACCAGAUUCGUAUGAUCAACUCAUCAUCAACCUAACGAACAACAAUCCAGUGGACAGUCUAGUUUUCGACGAAGUUGCAGCCUCCUUAUUAAAUGAUGAGAGCAGCUACAACUGUGGCAAGAAAGGGCACGUCAAGAAAGAGUGUUGGAGUAACCAGAAGAGAAAAGAGGACAAAGAACCUGAGUCAUCAAAUGCUCAGGGGUGUGUAGCAAGUACCUCAGAUGAUGACGAAAUUCUCUACAGUGAGGCAACAACUGUUUCAGAAGGCAGAAAACGACUAUGUGAUGUCUGGCUUAUAGACUCAGGAGCUACUGGCACAUGACCUCUCGGAGAGAAUGGUUCCACACAUAUGAACCUAUCUAAGGAGGAUUUGUAUAUAUGGGUAAUGAUCAUGCCUUGGAGAUCGCUAGUAUUGGUACUAUCAAAAUGAAAAUGUUUGAUGGUACAAUUCGCACAAUUGGAGAGGUACAGCAUGUCAAUGGCCUGAAGAAAAAUCUAUUGUCUUUGGGACAAAUGGAUAGUCAUGGGUACAAAACUCAUGUGGAGAAUGGAAUUAUGAAGAUCGUUAAAGGCGCGCUUGUAUUGAUGAAGGCAGAAAAGAUCGAUACUAAUCUAUUCAUGCUUAGAGGAGAAACACUAUAGGAGGCUGAUGCGUGUGUCGUGUCAAAUGGAGAAGAAUCAAUGAUGAUGUGGCAUCUCAAACUUGGUCACAUGUCAGAACAAGGCUUGAAGAUUCUCUCUGAACGAAAAUUACUUCCGGGGCUCAAAUCGGUAAGUUUACCAUUUUGCGAGCAUUGUGUUACAAGUAAGCAGUAUAGAUUAAAGUUCAGUAGAUCUAUUGCUAGAAGUAAAUGCAUUCUAGACUUGAUUCAUUCUGAUGUUUGGGAAUCACCGGAUAUAUCCAUGGGAGGUGCAAAGUACAUGGUGACUUUCAUUGAUGAUUAUUCCAGAAGAUGUUGGGUGUAUCCAAUUAGGAAAAAGUCAGAUGUAUUUCUAGUGUUUAAAGAAUACAAAAUGCGGGUGGAACUUGAAUCUAGUAAAAAGAUCAAGUGCUUGAGGACAGAUAAUGGUGGAGAGUAUACAGACGGCGAGUUUCUUGCUUUCUGUAAGCAAGAAGGUAUUCAGAGGCAGUUCACGGUAGCAUACACUCCUCAACAAAACGGAGUGGCAGAGCGGAUGAACAGAACUCUUACAGAAAGAAUAAGAGCUAUGUUGAGGACUGCUGGUCUACCCAAUUCAUUCUGGGCAGAAGCAGCCAAAACUGCCUGUUAUAUAGUAAAUCGGUCGCCAUCUACAGCUAUUGGGUUGAAGACGACGAUGGAGAUGUGGACUGGAAAGCCAGCUGAUUAUUCCUACCUACAUGCAUUUGGAUGUCCUGUGUACGUGAUGUACAAUGCCCAAGAAAGAACAAAGCUGGAUGCAAAAUCUAGAAGAUGUAUCUUCUUGGGGUAUGCUGAUGGAGUAAAGGAGAGAGUUUAAGAGCUUGCAUUUAUAAGCCUGCUGUACCGUACAUCCGCCUUGGCCGUACAGCAGCGAUGGAGAUGUGGACUGGAAAGCCAGCUGAUUAUUCCUACCUACAUGCAUUUGGAUGUCCUGUGUACGUGAUGUACAAUGCCCAAGAAAGAACAAAGCUGGAUGCAAAAUCUGUAAGAUGUAUUUUCUUGGGGUAUGCUGAUGGAGUAAAAGGGUAUCGUCUGUGGGACCCCACUGCCCACAAGAUCGUCAUCAGCAGAGAUGUUAUCUUUGUAGAAGAUCAACUGCAAAGAAAAGAUGGAGAUGAUGGCACUGUAAAAGAAAAGUCAGAGACUGUACCAGUAUAUGUUGAAAAUAAUCUAGAAGAUUCAGAUUCUUCGGAAGCAGCACCAGAGCACGAAGAACAAGAACUAGUCGAGUUUGAGGUUCCAGAAGUUCGUCGGUCAACUCGUGAGAGACGACCGUCGGCGUGGCACUCGGAGUAUGUCACAGAGAUCAAAGUUGCAUACUGUCUUCUAAUAGAGGAUGGAGAGCCUUCAACUUUCCAUGAAGCUUUAAACAGCUCAGAUGUUGCUUUGUGGAUAACAGCAAUGCAGGAAGCAAUUGAAGCUCUACACAAGAACAAGACAUGGGAACUUGUACCAGUACCACGUGGAAGAAAAGCCAUUGGAAACAAAUGGGUCUACAAGAUCAAACGUGAUGGCAAUGAACAAGUGGAGCGGUAUCGUGCGAGAUUGGUGGUGAAAGGAUAUGCUCAGAAAGAAGGUAUUGACUUCAACGAGAUAUUUUCUCCGGUGGUUCGACUCACAACAGUCAGAGUAGUCUUGGCGAUGUGUGCUACAUUUGACUUACAUCUUGAGCAGUUAGAUGUGAAAACUGCAUUUCUUCAUGGAGAACUUGAAGAAGAAAUAUAUAUGCUCCAACCAGAAGGUUUUGCAGAAAAAGAAAAGGAGAACUUGGUUUGCAGGUUGAACAAAUCUCUAUACGGUCUCAAACAGGCGCCGAGGUGUUGGUAUAAGAGAUUUGAUUCCUUCAUCAUGAGCCUUGGAUACAACAGACUCAGUUCAGAUCAUUGUACAUAUUACAAGAGAUUUGAAGAUAAUGAUUUCAUCAUUUUGCUGUUGUAUGUGGAUGACAUGUUGGUAGCAGGUCCCAACAAAGAUCGAAUCCAAGAAUUGAAGGCACAGUUAGCUAGGGAGUUUGAAAUGAAGGACUUUGUUAUGGAGGAUCAGAAUUUACUGUCAGGGGCUAUGUGGAUUCAGAUUUUGCAGGAGACCUUGAUAAAAGGAAAUCCACUACUGGUUAUGUGUUUGCAUUUACAGGAGCAGCUGUAAGCUGGGUUUCGAAACUGCAGACCGUUGUGGCUUUAUCUACAACAGAAGCAGAAUAUAUGGCAGCUACACAAGCUUGCAAGGAAGCUAUUUGGAUACAAAGGUUAUUGGAGGAGCUCGGGCACAAACAACAGAAAAUUCCUGUGCUUUGUGACAGUCAGAGUGCCUUGCACAUUGCAAGGAAUCCAGUCUUUCAUUCCAGAACAAAGCACAUAGGAGUUCAGUAUCACUUCGUUCGAGAAGUAGUGGAAGACGGAAGUGUGGAUUUNNNNNNNNNNNNNNNNNNNNNNNNNNNNNNNNNNNNNNNNNNNNNNNNNNNNNNNNNNNNNNNNNNNNNNNNNNNNNNNACAAAGCACAUAGGAGUUCAGUAUCACUUCGUUCGAGAAGUAGUGGAAGAUGGAAGUGUGGAUUUACAGAAAAUCCAUACGAAGGAGAACCUAGCAGAUGUUUUGACCAAGCCGAUAAAUACUGAUAAGUUUGUCUGGAGUAGAUCCUCCUGUGGCCUAGCAGCAACGUAGGCAACAUGACUAUGGCGAAGCAGAAAGGAUGGUGUGGAGAUUGAUUGCUUUUCACUCUAAUCUCCAAGUGGGAGAAUGUUGAAAGUCAUGGCUGGCGCCGGCCAUCUAGAUGGCCGGUGCCAACCAUUCAACAUUCAACACGGCCCGCCAUUAUUGGUGGUGCCGUGUUGAAUGACUCCAUAAAAAAAAAAAAAAAGAGCCAAAAUUUUGGCUAUAUAAAGAGGGCUUCCCACCCUCAUUUUUCAUCCAUCUUGAUAGAGCAAUUUAGGGAGUUGAGAGAGAGUUUAAGAGCUUGCAUUUAUAAGCUCUUAUUUUAGUGAUUUGAGAGUUUGGGUGUAUUGGGGUUUUGGGUAGUGAGCUAAAAUACUACAAUACUUAUAACUCCUUUUCACUAGUAAAAUAUUUCCUUCUGUCUUUGCCCGUGGACGUAGGCUAAAAGCCGAACCACGUAAUUUCUGGUGUCCUCUAUUGUGCUUGUUCUUUAUUUUUCUUCUAAUUUUAUUUUAGCUGCGUGUCUGCUUCACCCACCAAUUUCCUAACACUUUCUUGCUUGCCAAACACUCAUUUUUCUUUCUCCAAAAGUGAACAAGUGAUGGAAGUAGAUGAGUUUAUGAGGAUUAACAAGAUAAUAAUGAGCAUCAAGUUUACACACUAUUGUAAGACGCACGCUUUUACAAAGCAUCUCUUACGAAACGUACAACGAGCGCAAAAGGAUUGACGGCGUACAACGAGCGCAAAAGGAUUGACUUCAGUUUGAUCAAAUACAAUCAUAAAGAAAGGAGCAGAGACAUAAAAAAUGAAGGGCAAUAGGCAACCAAUCACACAAACCGCAAUGGUGAUGGCCAAACUGUUAGACAACACGGCAUACAAACCCGUCACAAAUGCUAGUGUCAUCGAUACGAGUGCAAUCCAAGUGAAGCCAAUGGCCAAAGGAAGUGUGUCCAUAAGUGAUUCAGUUUUGCUUCUCCAAAACGACCAAAAUAUAAUGGCGGCUGCAGCCAUGGCUGAAGUCAUGGCUAUGGUAUCUGUGAUCACAAAUGCCUGGAAACUUGCUCUGUGAAGCAGAGUUGCCGUGCCCUCGUCGGGACCAUCACUUUUGACGCCCCCUGGAAUUGUGAAGGCUGCUGUGAAUGUGAAUGUGGCUAUCAGUGUCGCCAUCACCGAGAGUGUUUGAGCCAUUUCUUUGCCUUUUUCACCUUCUUCUUUAGAAACCUGCCUUUUCUGUUGGAGUUCUUCCGCAGACAGAGCUCGUUUUGCGUAGGCCGUCUUCAGCGCUUUUAAUGUCAAGUGCUGAGUAGAGCAGAGCACGUAAAUAUAUAUACAGUUGUUUAAACGAACACAAGUAACCCCACAAUUGAAAAAUUUAGAGAAAUUACGACAUAUCUUCUAAAACCAAAAUAAAAAUGCCCAGACUUGCACAAAGAAGAAUAGACGGUUAGGCUAAAGAGAGGGAUCCCUUAGAAGGAUGGACAAUCUAGAACACAUCAAAAUCCUUGAUAUAAAUCUCUAAAUAGUUGUACUAACUCUAUGUGUUUUAGGCUUUGUCCUCGGCCGAGCACAAAUAUGGAAUUCUAAUUAAAUAAUUAAUUAUUUGUCAAUGCUUUUGUUUGGUUGCUAAAUAAUUCAAUUUUAAAAUAAAUGUUUUAUCAAGGAUUCUUCAAGAAAUUAUGCAAGCUUCUCGAUUUGUACAUGUUAGCCUUAACAAGAGUACGAAAGAAAGUGAAUGUACCUUUUGGAUCUCCUUUCCAUCGGCUCUAGUUAUCUCAGCAAUUUCUAGAGCAAUAUUGUUUCUGGCGCUGCGGUUUUUUGCCCUGAUGUUUACACUCUUAUGUCUGGAGAGAGUGAAAACCACAUCGCUAUGCAAGCCCAUUGCAGCCAGAUGCAACGGCGUAUUUCCAUUUCUAUCAACUAAGUUAAUCAAAUUUUCCAUUUCAGGGGACUUGAGAAUAAAUGACACGAUAUUCCAAUUUCCAUGUUUAGCAGCAACAUGGAGGAUGCUGCGAUCACUGUUGUCGCGGAUCUCAAUAGCAUCUGGGUAUUUGUUGAUAAGCAGUUUCAAGACCUUUAGUUUGCCAUUCUCUGCGGCCAAGUGAAGAGGCGUCUCACCAUUGCAGUCCCGUUUAUAUGCAAGCUGUUUGCUUUCUUCUAACAAGCGUUGUGCCAUUUUAACAUUACCCGAGGCCGCUGCAUAAUGAAGAGGAUUCCUCUGGUGCCAGUCUAACCGAUCGAUGAGUUCUUUGUUUGUUCCCAGUAUCUUGACCAUGAUAUCUAUAAAUUGCAGGAAUUGCAUGCCUUCAGAAAAAUCUCAAACUAUAUAUACUGAAGACAUUCGUUUAAAGAAAUGAAAAAUUAAUUAAUCACGGGCCGGCUCACCAUAGUUUUGCCUCAUGACAACAAAAUGAAGAAGUGUCAGUUCAUCUGGCAAUCUAGUGGUGUUGAGAGACUCGGGACUUUUAUCGAUGAUGAAACAUGCACUAUCAUUUAACCUUGCAUCAAUGGCGAUUGAGAGUGGGGUCUGGUAAGCUUUAUUAAUAUAGCUACUCGGAACACUAUCCUUUUCAACCAGAAUCCGAAUCACACGCUUGUGUUGGUUUGUUACAGCGUUAUGCAGAGGUGUGUUACCUUCGAUAUCUCUCAUCCGAAAAAGGCUUUCAAGUACCGGAAGGGGACCCGCUUGAUUCACCGCAGGCACAUAUUUCACGAUUUCACUAACGAUAGCGCGGUCACCAAUCCUGGCAGCAAUAUGCAGCGGAGUCUCAUCCAUCAGGUUUUUCUGACGGAGAAGUGAGUAAUGGAGUCUCAAGGCAAUAAAAUUCUGUUGCCUCAGAAUCUCCCGUAUCACUUGUUGGUUUCUGAAUCUGACAGCCAUAUGCAGGACUGUGUUUCCUCCGGGACUUGAGGUACUGAAAAUAUUCUGACGAAGUGCGAGUUGCUUGAUUUUAUUUUCAUCCCCAUUUCUCAGUACCUCGAGUAGUUCUUGAUCCAUUAUCGAUUCUCUGUACGUACGAAUUCAGCUAUGACAACGAUUAUUGAUGUAGCAUUACAUAGAGAAGCAACAAAGAAUUAAGGAAGCCGUUUUCGGGAAAAAUAUCCUUCUAUCAAAGCUGAUUACACUGAGUUUCUCAACCAACUUAAUCAUAUUGAAAAUAAGAUUUAAAUUAGGUGUGAAAAAAUAGGUUACUAGACUUUAAAAGAUUUUUUUUUGUUAUUUCAAAACAUUACGUUUACAUUGUUCUAGAU